CUGCCAAUGGCGCUGGGGCAGCCGGGGCAGCCCUGUCACCCCGCCCCGAGGAGGCCCACACCGAGGGUGGCCGCGGCCUGCCCCUCCAGGCGGAGGAGCCCGGACUGCGGAAGGAUGGAGCUGGCCGCGGGGGGCUUCUCGGAGGAGCAGUUCUGGGAGGCCUGCGCCGAGCUCCAGCAGCCCGCUCUGGCCGGGGCCGACUGGCAGCUCCUAGUGGAGACCUCGGGCAUCAGCAUCUACCGGCUGCUGGACAAGAAGACUGGACUUUAUGAGUAUAAAGUCUUUGGUGUUCUGGAGGACUGCUCACCAACUCUACUGGCAGACGUCUAUAUGGACUCAGACUACAGAAAACAAUGGGACGAGUACGUUAAAGAACUCUAUGAACAAGAAUGCAACGGAGAGACUGUAGUCUACUGGGAAGUGAAGUACCCUUUUCCCAUGUCCAACAGAGAUUAUGUCUACCUUCGGCAGCGGCGAGACCUGGACAUGGAAGGGCGGAAGAUCCACGUGGUCCUGGCCCGGAGCACCUCCACGCCUCAGCUUGGCGAGAGGUCUGGGGUGGUCCGGGUGAAGCAAUACAAGCAGAGCCUGGCGAUCGAGAGUGACGGCAAGAAGGGGAGCAAAGUUUUCAUGUAUUACUUCGAUAACCCGGGUGGCCAAAUUCCGUCCUGGCUCAUUAACUGGGCCGCCAAGAACGGAGUUCCUAACUUCUUGAAAGACAUGGCAAGAGCCUGUCAGAACUACCUCAAGAAAACCUAAGAAAGAGAAUUGGGAACAUUGCAUCCAUGGGAUGAUGUCCCUGGAAGUGCAACCACCCAAUGUCUCUGGAAAUGCCACCACCCACCGCUGCUCAGCCUUCCCCUGCUGUUUCUGUCUUCAGAGGCCUACACACUCUACCACAUCCUUUCUAAGCAUGUUCGCCUGACAUCCAGCUCACUCGCCUGCUUCCUUUCUCACUGCCCCCAUCCUGGGCUGGGCUGCCUUCUUCUACAAUUCAAUAUGGGGCAGCCUAGGGAAACCUUUGCUUGCUUGCUAUUAGGAAGGGAAGUCUUCAGUAGGGAGCACGAUCAUUCCGUCGUGCAAUUUUAUGGGGAUGGGUGGGCGGAGGGACACAACAACAUUGAAGAAUGACUAUUUGGGCAGGCUGGCUCUUUCGCAGCUUGUGAUUUCUUCCAACUUGGGAGGGGCUGCUGGAAGUGGCAUUCAGUUCAGAGCUGACUUUCAGUGCACCCAAACUGGACGACAUGUGCCAAUGGCCAUUUGCCUUAUGCUUUGUGGAGCUGAUUAGGCUGGGAUUUGAGGUGAUAAUCCAGUAAGUCUUUCCUCAUUCCUACUUGUAGAGGAUCAGUAGCUGUUAUGAUGCCAGACCAUUUGGAGAAGUAUCACAGGCCUGACCGGACACAUAAUAUGACAACCACAUUUUUCCUCAUCAUCCAUGUCUGUUUUUUUCUCUUUUCCGUAUGUCACUGGGGAAGGGCUGCCUGUACCUCUCAAGCUUUGCAUUUUACUGGAAACUGAGGCAUCAAGAUGGCUGUGGCAGCUAGCAAAAGCAAAGAUGCUUUGUGCAUAGCCUUGUGAAAAAAGGCUGGAGUCCAUCGGCAUUGGGGUAGGCAUGGCGUUUGCGGGAUGAAUGAGAAAGAUAUGGUGCCUGCCCCUAAGGUGCUUAUGGUCUAAUGAAAACUCAGUGAACAAGCUGCUGAAGGAUGAUAAGUGCUCAGAAAAGGAAAAUAAAAGGUGCUGUUAAAAAAAAGGGCAGUAACCAAGUUUGAGGAGCAGAGGAGAAUGUGUUGGAAUUGUGGCUGGAUGAAGAUUGCAGAAGAAAGCUGUUCAUGACAGAAGAACCAUUUGCACAAAACCUCUAAGGAGGAAGGACUCAGCAGGAGAGUCAGUCACGUCUGAAGAAUGACAGAAGGCCAGUCUGGCUGAAGCACUGACAUGAAGGAGAGGCAUCUUGUAUGUGGCUGGAGAAGUAGACAGGCCAUGGGGGGUCCUGAGAGCAACGGCAAGGAUUUGGGACUUUAUCCCAAGAGUCCCAAUAAGCUUUGAAAGAUUUUAGAUUAACGAAUGACCUAAAAAUAUGUAUUAUUCUUAACACCGCUCAUUUUUCUCCAUGAUUCCCCAGCAUCUCUGACAGCCUCUCCAGUAGCAUUGUGUGGGGCUACUCAAGGUGCUUUAAGCCCUAUUACUUGGAAUCCUGUCCAUUGUCAGGCAGCAUGCAGAGUAGCCCAUACUUAAAUCAAGUUUCCAAAGUGCAACAUCAGUUUCUGAAGUUUAACUGAAAAACAAAAGGCUGGAGGGAUGGGACCACCCAUGCACAUCCCCUCUGUCUCUCUUGGCCCAUGUUGGGGUGCAGCAUACCCUCUCACACAUCUGCAUCAUGCAGCCCAUCAGAGCAGAGCCAUUUAAGGGGCCAGAAGUGGGAAAGAAAAAAAGAAAGGCAAAAAAAU